AUUGAACGCUGGCGGCAUGCCUAACACAUGCAAGUCGAGCGGAUGAAGGAAGCUUGCUCCUGGAUUCAGCUGCGGACGGGUGAGUAAUUCCUAGGAAUCUGCCUGGUAGUGGGGGAUAACGUCCGGAAACGGGCGCUAAUACCGCAUACGUCCUGAGGGAGAAAGUGGGGGAUCUUCGGACCUCACGCUAUCAGAUGAGCCUAGGUCGGAUUAGCUAGUUGGUGUGGUAAAGGCCUACCAAGGCGACGAUCCGUAACUGGUCUGAGAGGAUGAUCAGUCACACUGGAACUGAGACACGGUCCAGACUCCUACGGGAGGCAGCAGUGGGGAAUAUUGGACAAUGGGCGAAAGCCUGAUGCAGCAACGCCGCGUGUGUGAAGAAGGUCUUCGGAUUGUAAAGCACUUUAAGUUGGGAGGAAGGGCAGUAAGUUAAUACCUUGCUGUUUUGACGUUACCAACAGAAUAAGCACCGGCUAACUUCGUG
rnacentral:rRNA from 1 species